GAUGAACGCUGGCGGCGUGCUUAACACAUGCAAGUCGAACGAAGAUGCCGGAGUGCUUGCACUUUGGCAGACUGAGUGGCGGACGGGUGAGUAACGCGUGGGUAACCUGCCUUAUACAGGGGGAUAACAGUUGGAAACGACUGCUAAUACCGCAUAAGCGCACGGUAUCGCAUGAUACAGUGUGAAAAACUCCGGUGGUAUAAGAUGGACCCGCGUCUGAUUAGCUAGUUGGUGAGGUAACGGCCCACCAAGGCGACGAUCAGUAGCCGGCCUGAGAGGGUGAACGGCCACAUUGGGACUGAGACACGGCCCAAACUCCUACGGGAGGCAGCAGUGGGGAAUAUUGGGCAAUGGGCGCAAGCCUGACCCAGCAACGCCGCGUGAAGGAAGAAGGCUUUCGGGUUGUAAACUUCUUUUGUCAGGGACGAGUAGAAGACGGUACCUGACGAAUAAGCACCGGCUAAAUACGUG
rnacentral:rRNA from 1 species